rnacentral:rRNA from 1 species
AUUGAACGCUGGCGGCAUGCUUUACACAUGCAAGUCGAACGGUAACAGGCCUUCGGGUGCUGACGAGUGGCGAACGGGUGAGUAAUGCAUCGGAACGUACCCAGAGGUGGGGGAUAACGCAGCGAAAGCUGUGCUAAUACCGCAUGUGAUCUUAGGAUGAAAGCGGGGGACCGAGCAGCAAUGUUUGGCCUCGCGCCUUUGGAGCGGCCGAUGUCGGAUUAGCUAGUUGGUGGGGUAAAGGCCUACCAAGGCGACGAUCCGUAGCUGGUCUGAGAGGACGACCAGCCACACUGGGACUGAGGCACGGCCCAGACUCCUACGGGAGGCAGCAGUGGGGAAUUUUGGACAAUGGGCGCAAGCCUGAUCCAGCAAUGCCGCGUGCGGGAAGAAGGCCUUCGGGUUGUAAACCGCUUUUGGCAGGAACGAAACGGUGUCCGCUAAUACCGGGCGCUAAUGACGGUACCUGCAGAAUAAGCACCGGCUAACUACGUG